GAUGAAGAACGCAGCGAAAUGCGAUAAGUAAUGUGAAUUGCAGAUUUCAGUGAAUCAUCGAAUCUUUGAACGCACAUUGCGCCCUUUGGUAUUCCUUAGGGCAUGCCUGUUCGAGCGUCAUUUAAACCUUCAAGCUCAGCUUGGUGAUGGGUGACUGUCCGCUGCCUCCCCCCGGGGUGCGCCGCGGACUCGCCUCAAAACGAUUGGCGGCCGGUACAUUGGCUUCGAGCGCAGCAGAAACGCGAACUCGGGCCCGUCGUAUUGGCUCCCAGAAGCUAUCUUCACAAUUUUGACCUCGGAUCAGGUAGGGAUACCCGCUGAACUUAAGCAUAUCAAUAAGCGGAGGA
rnacentral:misc_RNA from 1 species